AGAAUCAACGCUGGCGGCGUGCCUCAGACAUGCAAGUCGAACGCGAAAGUCCCCUUCGGGGGCAAGUAGAGUGGCGCACGGGUGAGUAACACGUAGGUAAUCUACCUUUGGAUGGGGAAUAACAAUCGGAAACGAUUGCUAAUACCGCAUAAUGCAGCGGCACCUAAUGGUGACAGUUGUUAAAGCGGGGGAUCGAAAGACCUCGCGUCUAAAGAGGAGCCUGCGGCGGAUUAGCUAGUUGGUAAGGUAAUGGCUUACCAAGGCAACGAUCC
rnacentral:rRNA from 1 species